CACGUAGGGUGCGAGCGUUGUCCGGAAUUAUUGGGCGUAAAGAGCUCGUAGGCGGUUCGUCGCGUCGGCUGUGAAAUCCCGAGGCUCAACCUCGGGUCUGCAGUCGAUACGGGCGGACUGGAGUUCGGCAGGGGAGACUGGAAUUCCUGGUGUAGCGGUGAAAUGCGCAGAUAUCAGGAGGAACACCGGUGGCGAAGGCGGGUCUCUGGGCCGAUACUGACGCUGAGGAGCGAAAGCGUGGGGAGCAAACAGG
rnacentral:rRNA from 1 species